rnacentral:rRNA from 1 species
ACGGAAGGCAGCAGUGAGGAAUAUUGGUCAAUGGAGGCAACUCUGAACCAGCCAUCUCGCGUGAAGGAAUACGGCCCUACGGGUCUUAAACUUCUUUUAUAGGGGGAUAAAGUGAGCCACGAGUGGCUUUUUGUAGGUACCCUAUGAAUAAGCAUCGGCUAACUCCGUGCCAGCAGCCGCGGUAAUACGGAAGAUGCGAGCGUUAUCCGGAUUUAUUGGGUUUAAAGGGAGCGUAGGCGGGUCUUUAAGUCAGUGGUCAAAGCGUGUGGCUCAACCAUACCACGCCAUUGAUACUGGAGACCUUGAGUGCACAUAAGGAUGGUGGAAUUCGUCGUGUAGCGGUGAAAUGCUUAGAUAUGACGAAGAACUCCGAUUGCGAAGGCAGCUGUCCGGGGUGUAACUGACGCUAAUGCUCGAAAGUGCGGGUAUCAAACAGGAUUAGAUACCCUGGUA